rnacentral:lncRNA from 1 species
GUCAGGGUUGGGGAUUACUGGCUCAGAAGCAGGAAAUCUCAUGUAGAAGCCCAGAACUUUCAAGAGAUAAGAAGUAGAGAGAUUCUGGUUUAAAGAGAGAUGACAGAAGCCCUGAAUGUCCUCUCUUCUGCUCCCCCAGAUACCUUCAUGGACUACAGGGCUGUACAUACGGUUAGACUCCUUGACCUCAAUGGUCAUGGGAUACAUGAACUUCAGGCUUAAUCUCUGUGUGAGAAAAACAGCAUGAAGAUAAUCAACUCUAUGUCAGAAGAAAUUGGCAACACUACUAACCACGAGUAAUGCACACCGAAGGGUUGUGAAGAGGACGUUACUAUUUGUACACUGUUUUGAGCAGUGCCUGCUGUACAGUAAGGACCAUAUAUGUGUUUAUAAAAUAAAUCUUAGUUGCUAUAGGCAACACCACGCA